ensembl:lncRNA
AAAAAAUUAAAAAUCUUUACUUUACAAAGUACUUAUUAUUCAGUGCUUUACAGUGGAAUGACUGUAAAUUACAGUGGUUUUGUUUCUCUGCUGUGUUGUGAUUUCCCAUCAGUCACAUGACCCGUAUCUGAGAUCAUAUCUCUGAUAUCUCAUAGCUUAUGUGUUAAAUACUUUCAGUUUUGUUUUGAUGCCUGAUCAAAAGGUUAAAUUGGAACAUUUACCAUGUUCAGAUGGCUGAAUAUGCUGCUGCUGUUUUGCUUUAUCAAUUAUAGAGAAACAACCAUAGGAAAUAUCCUUAUACACGUGACAGGACAAAAAGGAGAAGAUGUCACCCUGCCAUGUGAUAUUCAAGCCAGAGAGAUUUUUCAUUUCAUUUUAACCAGUCUGUCAAAAAGCAUCUUUGUUUGUCAGAAUGAAGAGUGUACGAGUAGCCGAGUAUUUAAAAAAGGAGCCUGUGACAUCAUCAUCAAGGAUCUGAGACUGAGUGAUGCUGGGAAAUACAUUUUGAGAGUCCAUUACAAUAAUACUGCAGAGCCACAAAUCAGGGAGUACCAUCUUCAAAUUCAAGAUGAAAUUUCUGUGAAAACAGGCGAGCAGGUGAAGUUGGAUGUUUUGUUUUCCCGUGCUGAUAAAGUAGAGACAAACUCCAGUGGAGAGUGGAGGGAGGUGUGGAAGAGAGGUCAUGGGGUCUGGAGUGAACGAAUGACUGACCGUGAUGGGAACUUGACCAUUAAAGAGUUUACAUCCAAUGAUACAGGAACAUACAGGGUUCUGGACUCUGAAGGAGAAAUCUUGAUCACAGUGACUGUCACAGAAUCUAGUACAGAAUCUGACUCAAAGAGGACAGAUGAUGACAAACCUUAUGACUCUGAACAGCAUAGUAAGUAGAACAGGAGUCAUUGAGAACUUUACAAAAUAUUUAAGUGAGUUUAAAAAAGAAAAAACAAAAAUGUAUCUUUUCACCUUCCAGCUGUAAAGAUUGUGAUUGGUGUACUGACUGUGUUUGGAGUUCUGGGGGUUCUGGCUCUUAUAAUUUUUGUAAGAAAAAUUAUAAACCUACCUGCAAAUGGAGGUUUCUUGCCAGUCCGCUGGAUAAGAGGGACACCUGAAGACUCAUAAUAUUCUCUCCUGAGGUACAUCUCUGCCAUUGCAGAACAUCUACUGGUGUUCAUCAACUGGUUACUUGAAAUUCACCUUCAGAGCCAACAGAUCAACACAGGAUUCUGUCAACAUACCGAAUGUCUGCAAUGUGUGCAAUAGUUAUCAGCUGUAAAUGUGAAACUGACAAUAUCGACAUUAUCUAAACGCCACUUCAGAUGCAGCUUCUGUGCCAAAGAUGGAUUUUGUUGAUUUCUUUUGAUUUGUAACAGCCUAAUUGUGUCUUAUACUAACUUAUUAUGGAUUAAAUGUAGGAAUUUGUCAUAAAAGAUAAUGCCUUUAUCUAAACAGGUUGGACAAAAUGCCCAUAUAAAGAUAAAAAAAUGCCCCGGGAAAUUAAUUUAAGAGAGAAAAUGUUACAUUUAAUGCAGAUAAGAAUAUGAAAAGCUUUUUUUGUAAGACAGGCCUAAACCAGUCAAGACAAACCAGCACAAAAACUCUAAGCAAAAUAUCAUCUAAUUAUCAUUAUCAACAAAAUGCCAGAAAAUACUGAGAUAUCAUAUGUGCGUAACUGAGAACAAUAUUUAAUAUGUAUGCUUUGUACAAAUGUGUUGAAAAAAUAUGUCAAGAUGAGGAAGAAUGUGUCCAAAGUUAAGUCUGUGUUCCUGACAAGUUAAACAACUUAUUCUUAUUUUAAGAAAAAAUAAACUAGGUCGAAAAAAAAACA